AUACUUACCUGGCAGGGGAGAUACCAUGAUCAUGAAGGUGGUUUUCCCAAGGCGAGGCUUAUCCAUCACACUCUGGAUGUGCUGACCCCUGUGAUUUUCCCAAAUGUAGGAAACUUGACAGCGUAAUUUGGGGGUGGGGGGACUGCAUUCGUGCUUUCCUUG
ensembl:snRNA U1 U1 spliceosomal RNA